rnacentral:rRNA from 1 species
ACAGUGUGCAUACAUCACACUUGGUUUUCGUCUUUCCGUGUAGUCGGUGGAGGAUAUGCCAAAUUUGAAUUGUCUUGCAAUUACUUUUCGAAUCGGCUGCGUGUCCUUCGAAAUGUAUGGAACUGACUCUUUUUGUUCGAAAAGAGUGGCGUUGCUGGUUGUGAAGGAUGCUAAUAUGACUAGUCGGCGACCAUUUGUCUUCUAUGGCAUAAAUGAAGGAGUGUUAGAUUCGCUAUAUAGCUGGCUGCGGCUGAACAGACGCUUAUUGGACGUUCUUCACACCAUGGCGGUAUAACUGGUAAGCCGUAGUUCAUGUAUGGCUUGGCUAUUGAAUCGGCUUUGCUGCUGCGAAGUAGGAUGACAGUUUCGGCUGUCGAUGGUCGACCCAUUCGAGAAAUUGUGCUGUGCGACUCACGGUCGCGUGGCAUCUCAAUUGGACCUGGUAUCAGGCAAGAUUACCCGCUGACUUGAGCAUAUUAGGAUUCGGUGGAAAAGAAACUAACAAGAAUUCCCCUAGUAACAGCGAGUAAAGCGGGAUGAGCUCAGGCUUAAAAUCUUCAUACAAGUUUUGUAUAGCAAAUUGGAGUCUAGAGACGCGUGGUGAGCGUUGGCGCUUGGUCAAGCUUCUUGGAAGAGGACAGCAUGAUGGGUGAUACUCUCGUUCAUUCCUACGUGGCUUGUGUGUACGACCCGUUUCCUUUGAGUCGCGCUGCUUUAGAUUGCAGCGUAAAGUAGGUGGCAAAUUCCAUCUAAAGAUAAAUAUUGGUGCGAGACCGAUAGCGAACAAGUACCGUGAGGGAAAGAUGAUAAGAACUUUAAAAAGAUAGUUAAAGAAUACCUGAAACUGCUGCAAGAGAUUCAGGUGCUCUUUAACUUUCUUUGGAGAAGAAACUUCCUCGGCCUAUUCUCAAACUUUAAAUCUGUAAGGCCUGCAGAUUUCUUAAUUGAACUUGCGGAUGUGAAUAUCAAGUGGCUAGUGGGCCAGACGGGGUAAGCUCGUCUGGCGAUGCGGGAUAAACCGAACGCAAAGUUAAAGAGCCAAAAUGCUUGCUCAACUAGAUUUUGUUCACCCACUAAAAGGAAACGUGAGCUUUUUAGACCGUCGUGAGACAGGUUAGUUUUACCCUACUAAUUAGUUCGUUUUCUAAACAGUAAUCCAAACCCAGCAGGAGAGGAACCAUUAUUUUUUUCGAUGAUUGGGAAGUGCGGUUAGCUGAAAAGCUAGUGCCGCCAAUGUAACGGGCCUAUACAAACCCCGUUACUUUAACUUACACUGAUUAAGGGCUUUGAGGAAGCUCAAACCCAAGCUUAGGAAUUUAGGUAUUUUUAACUCUGAUUUUUUUUAUUAUUUUGUGUUUUAUGUAAUCUCRUCUAAGUACGAAAUUGUUCCCUUAGUUUGGGAACCACUACAUUUUGUGCUACUUUAUUAUUGGUCCAAAUUACCCAGUUC